rfam:Picea glauca, whole genome shotgun sequence.
CCAUAGGAUUUUCUCAAAUCCAACUUUAAAAUUAAGGCCUUAU